CUGUAUUACAGAAGAGCCACUGAACAAGGGGAUGGUGAUGACAGAUCACAAGAAUUUACCUCCGUGCUAUCCUGGUCUAGGGAAAUGGUUUCAAGAGCACUGUACACCGAUCUAUAGCCUAAAAGCUACACCACUUAACCUUGCUGUACAGGUGGUGACACCACUGAGGAUUGUGUAAGCUCUCUGUGACUUUUGCAAAAUUGCAGAAUCACCCUUGGAUACAUCAGAACAUAUCCCCAUUGGUAAGUGACACAUAACUGUGCUUCAGAAACAGGAGCAGCAGAUUGUGAACACC
rnacentral:lncRNA from 1 species